rnacentral:tRNA from 1 species
GCCUGAGUGGCUCAGUUGGUUAAGGGCCUCCCUUCGACUCAGGUCAUGAUCUUACAAGUUCGUGGGUUUGAGUCCCACAUCAGGCU